rnacentral:rRNA from 1 species
UACGGGGGGGGUAAGCGUUGUUCGGAAUUACUGGGCGUAAAGGGCUCGUAGGCGGCCAACUAAGUCAGACGUGAAAUCCCUCAGCUUAACUGGGGAACUGCGUCUGAUACUGGAUGGCUUGGAUUCGGGAGAGGGAUGUGGAAUUCCAGGUGUAGCGGUGAAAUGCGUAGAUAUCUGGAGGAACACCGGUGGCGAAGGCGACAUCCUGGACCGGUAUUGACGCUGAGGCGCGAAAGCCAGGGGAGCAAACGGG